rnacentral:rRNA from 1 species
GACGAACGCUGGCGGCGUGCUUAACACAUGCAAGUCGAACGGAAAGGCCCUGCUUUUGUGGGGUGCUCGAGUGGCGAACGGGUGAGUAACACGUGAGUAACCUGCCCUUGACUUUGGGAUAACUUCAGGAAACUGGGGCUCAUACCGGAUAGGAUCUCCUGCUGCAUGGUGGGGGUUGGAAAGUUUCGGCGGUUGGGGAUGGACUCGCGGCUUAUCAGCUUGUUGGUGGGGUAGUGGCUUACCAAGGCUUUGACGGGUAGCCGGCCUGAGAGGGUGACCGGCCACAUUGGGACUGAGAUACGGCCCAGACUGCUACGGGAGGCAGCAGUGGGGAAUAUUGCACAAUGGGCGGAAGCCUGAUGCAGCAACGCCGCGUGCGGGAUGACGGCCUUCGGGUUGUAAACCGCUUUCGCCUGUGACGAAGCGUGAGUGACGGUAAUGGGUAAAGAAGCACCGGCUAACUACGUG